GACGUAGGAGGCGAGCGUUGUCCGGAUUCAUUGGGCGUAAAGAGCGCGCAGGCGGCUUGGUAAGUCGGAUGUGAAAUCCCGAGGCUCAACCUCGGGUCUGCAUCCGAUACUGCCCGGCUAGAGGUAGGUAGGGGAGAUCGGAAUUCCAGGUGUAGCGGUGAAAUGCGUAGAUAUCUGGAGGAACACCGGUGGCGAAGGCGGCAUCCUGGACCAACACUGACACUGAGGAGCGAAAGCCAGGGGAGCAAACGGG
rnacentral:rRNA from 1 species